GCUGUCUCGUUCAGCGCUCGUGUGCGUAAGGUGUGUUUUGGGUUAAGUCUCGCAACGAGCGCAACCCUCGUGUUUAGUUGCCACUAUGAGUUUGGAACCCUGAACAGACCGCCGGUGUUAAGCCGGAGGAAGGAGAGGAUGAGGCCAAGUCUUCAUGCCCCUUAUGCCCUG
rnacentral:ncRNA from 1 species